GGCAGAGCCCGGCCCCAGCUGGUUCUCUCUGGGGAGCAGAGCUCUCGGGGUCCCCUGCACCAUGGCCUGGCCUCUCGUCUGCCUCCUCCUGCUCACCUGCUGCUCAGGUUCCUUCUCCCAGCCUGUGCUGACUCAGGCUCCCUCCAUGUCUGUGUCCCUGGGAGCCACGGCCAGACUCACCUGCACCCUCAGCAGUCAGCACAGCAACUUCUAUAUUCAUUGGUACCAGCAGAGCCCAGGAAAAGCCCCCAGAUUUGUCAUGAAAGUGAACAGUGAUGGAAGUGUGAGCAAGGGCGAGGGGGUCCCCGACCGCUUCUCGGGCUCCAGCUCUGGGACCAAUCGCUACUUGUCCAUCAGUAACAUCCAGCCCGAGGACGAGACCGAUUAUUACUGUGGGGCAAAUUAUAAGAGUGGUGAUAACUAUGGUUACCACAGUGCUACAUUCAGCGGGGAAGUGGGACAAAAACCCCCCUGCCAGCCCAGCCCCCGCCCCACAGCUGGCCCAGACUUCUGGCGCAGCCCCAGCUGCUAAAGGGCCCUGAGGUUG